rnacentral:lncRNA from 1 species
CGUAGUCUACACAACUGUAGCUUGUUGAUCCGCCUUCUGAAGCACCGCCCAUGUACGAAGCAGUGGGAAGUGGCAUACAUAACCUGCAAUGGAGAAAAGGUCGUUUUUCUUAAAAAAACAAAAUCAUUUCUAGUUAGCCAAAGAGCCCAACAAUGCUUGUCGCUUCUAACAAAACAAUGUUUAUAAUAUUAUGAUUAAACCUCUCUAGCCAGCUACCAAACAUAUUAGAGACACUGGAAGGUGCAUGUAUUCCGAAGGCUAAAUAAAUUAUACCCCAUACUAUAUGAGCGAAACGACAUUCGAAAAACAGAUGCUUAAUUAUCUCUAGUUUAUGACAGAAGCAACAAGAUAUGUCUCCAUGUCAAUUGUGCUUGGCCAUGUUGUCCUUAGUUAGGAUUACUCCUCUCCUAAUAUACCACAAGAAGACUUUAAUAUUAAGCGGAGCUUAUAAUUUCCAUAAUCUUUAAACAUAAAACCUAGCCAAGCGUGGAUAUUUCACAAAAUGGGUCACUCUAGGAUGGCGGACCUUUUAAUUCCCAUAAUCUUUGGAAUAAGACAAGUUGUUGUCGAGUCCUCGGCGAUGCGAAAGAUGAUCUUCCGCGUGGACGCACUGCAGCCCGUGCCCCGUGAACAUUGAGCCGGAGAUGAUGCGACCUUGAAGCGACGCAAACGUGCG